AGAGUAUAUAGUGUAGUGUCCACAUAAACUAUAUGAAAGUGAUAUCAUAAGAGAAAAGGAAUUGCUGGGGUAGAUUUCUUUUUGUUGAACAGGUGUCAGAUGAGGCAGAGAUGGUGUGGGCUGGGAAAAUAAGGCUUUCCUGGAGGAGUGGUAGAAUUGGACAGGUGCGGGAGAGGAUGUCCCAUUUGCAGUGACAUGCCAUGGGCUAUUCCAGAGGCAGGGACAUGGUGGGGAACACAGCAGACACAGUUCCCACCCAUGUGGAGCUCACACUUGAUGAGGAGAGACAGGAAACAAAUGAAAUUAUCAAGAAUAUCAGUCAAAAUGAUCAAGAAUUCCAGAUAGGGAUAAGUGCUGUCAGUGAAUAAAACAGGCCAAUGUGUUAGAGAGUGAUGAGGAUAGAGUACUUCAGGCAGAGGGACAGCCAGUGCAAAGGCUGGGCUUUAAAGCAAGGGAGAGGUGGUUUUCAAUUGGUGUUUAGACCAGUGUUUCCAAAACGAUCACAGAAAAAUUGCUAUAAGUGGUUCUAAACAGGUAUUCUUUUUUUUUUUUUUUUGAGACAGAGUCUCACUCUGUUGGCAGGCUGGAGUGCAGUGGCGUGAUCUCUGCUCACUGCGACCUCUGCCUCCCGGAUUCAAGCAAUUCUCCUGCCUCAGGCUCCCAAGUAGCUGGGACUACAGGUGCGUGCCACCACGCCCUGCUAAUUUUUGUAUUUUUAGUAGAGACGGGGUUUCACCAUGUUGGCCAGGAUGGUCUCGAUCUCUUGACCUCGUGAUCCGCCCACCUCAGCCUCCCAAAGUGCUGGGAUUACAGGCGUGAGCCACUGCGCCCAGCCCUAAACAGUUAUUCUUAAUUUAUGUCAUCUCCUCUUAGACCAGUAACAGUCCCUGAACCAUCAUCAGCUCAUGGACUGUGCUUUGAGUAGCAUCUUUUUAGAAGGAAUUCUCCAGUUGCUGUUUAAAGAAUAAAUGUGCUGUAGGUGGAUGUGUUGGUUCUCCCUUUUAGUUGCAAAUAACAGCCUCCCCUAUUCUCUGAUUAACUCAAGAGGGGUUACUCUGUGAUAUGGAUAGAUUGCCAGAAUUGUUGGGAGGACUGAAGAAGCAGACUCUGGGCUUGGCCUAUAGGAAGUUGCUUCUCACAACUCUGCUCUCCAUGAUCAGGCUGCUGGCCCUGCCGCUGACAACGCUCUGCAGAAUAAAGCUGCUGCAGCUACCAGGCCUGGAAUCAUGCCUCUUCUGCCAGGAUCAGGAGGCAGCCGUGAUCCAUGCCGUCAGAAUAGAUGCCUUCCCUCCUCUCAUCUGCCCCCAUACCUGGGCCAGAAGCAUCUUUCCCAAGUGUUCCCAUUUAGGCAGAGCCUAAGUCACAUCUGGAACACUCAGCUGCAAGGCAGCAUGAAGAAUGUCAUUUGGACGUUCAGGCCUGGCAUGCUAGAUGGGGGUUUGGGAUAGGACCUGAGCAAGCCAAUCUGCGGGUGUGCCAUGAAGGCAAGAGUGGUGUGGGAGCCUGGGGAAGGGAUGGCGAAGGCCCUUUGCCCGCCACUGUCUCUGGAUGAAUGUC
rnacentral:lncRNA from 1 species